rnacentral:rRNA from 1 species
GACGAACGCUGGCGGCGUGCUUAACACAUGCAAGUCGAACGGAAAGGCCCUGCUUUUGUGGGGUGCUCGAGUGGCGAACGGGUGAGUAACACGUGAGUAACCUGCCCUUGACUUUGGGAUAACUUCAGGAAACUGGGGCUAAUACCGGAUAGGAGCUCAUGCUGCAUGGUGGGGGUUGGAAAGUUUCGGCGGGUGGGGAUGGACUCGCGGCUUAUCAGCUAGUUGGUGGGGUAGUGGCUUACCAAGGCUUUGACGGGUAGCCGGCCUGAGAGGGUGACCGGCCACAUUGGGACUGAGAUACGGCCCAGACUCCUACGGGAGGCAGCAGUGGGGAAUAUUGCACAAUGGGCGGAAGCCUGAUGCAGCAACGCCGCGUGCGGGAUGACGGCCUUCGGGUUGUAAACCGCUUUCGCCUGUGACGAAGCGUGAGUGACGGUAAUGGGUAAAGAAGCACCGGCUAACUACGUG